GGCCCAUUGCGGUGCACCUACGAUGGCUGAAGUUGCGUUCUUUGCAUUCUUGCCAUUAUAAAUUAUGUCAUGAAAAUAGAGCACCAUGCUCUUACAAGGUUUCCUGGCGCGGAUUUUUCGUGUUGUUGCAGCAGUAGAUAUGGAGAGGAGGGAGAGAAGGAAGAGAAGUAGCAGAAAUCUCCUUGCUUCCAUUUUCAUUUCAGAGCAAGAAGGUUACAAAAAAAAAAAACUAUGGAAUCUGUGAUAGUAUGCUUUGAAUAAAACUUGAGCGGCUUUAUACAAGAGCUUUCAACUGCAAAACUUUUAGGUUAUUCUGUUGGUUAAUUAAAUAUGAAGUAAUGCUUGGCUUUGAAGGAAUAAUUGGAUAGCAGUAACUCCACCAAAAAGUGACUACCCUUAUCCAUUGAAUUCAAUCUGCACCCUAGGCGUUUAACUGAUCGUUUUGAUAGCGUCAGAUCAAAGAUUAGCACAAUUAUUGGAUGCUGCAGGGAGAUUUGGUAGAGCAACAUUAGUGUUCUUACUGUAUGAAUGAAAUUAUGGAAUCCUUUGACUUUAGUUAGUUGACUGUAAGCUAAAGGAUGUUAUGGUGAUAAAUGGGCAAUAUGAUCUGCGACAAUGGAAUCAGUUUCACAGUUAAUUACAAUGCAGUCUUAUUCACAGUUUUGUUUUAAAGAGAAAACGACAUUUUAAUGUUGUUAAUAUUUUGGGGAUUGAACAUGCAUUAACUUCACUUUACAACUCAUGUCACGCUAAAUAUUUAAGAAAAUAUAUAUAAAUAAGAUUCUUUAAUCUCAUAUAGGCAGAUAAGAUAAUUUUGAAAAGUUUAUAAGUAUUGAUCCUGUAAAUCUCUUCAAGUUAGUAUUUUGGACAUGUUGACAUAUCAGUGUCACAUGACAAUUUAAAAAAAUAAAUUUUUGCCACGUCAUAAGAAUUACAUUGAACAAAAAUAUAUAAUACAAGAAUUAAAUUAAACAAAAUUAAGAUAUUGAGGGACUAAAUUAAAAAAAUAUUUAAAAAAUAUAAAUUUUUAAAUAAAUUAUUGAUAUGUAUAUUAAUAAGCCAAAUAUUUAAGUGUAAAAGAUUUACAGUGUUAAAAAAUAUAUAUAUUUUCUUACUGAUUAUUUGAUUUUAAAAUAUGUAAAUUAAUUUAUCUUUUUUACAAAAACUAAGUUUGAAUUCUCCUUUUAUAAAAAAAAUUGAAAAAAUUUCAUACUUUAAGUCAAAUUUAGAUAAAUAAUUUAUAUUACGUUAAAAUAAAAUAAUAUAAAAUGACUAAAUAAAUUCUUUUUUUUUCUAUUUAUAAUAGUAUAAAAAUUUGAAAUUUAUUUAACUUAGUUUUUUACUUGAGCUAAAAUCAAAUUAGCAAAAUAUGUUGAUUUAAUUUUUUUCUUUUAAAAAGAUGAAAAUCAGAGAUAUGGAGUUAGUGAUGAUUAUAAAAAUAAUUUCUUAUUUUGAAUUGUUUAAUUUGGACAUGACAAACCUUUUAUUACAACUAUAGAAUCUGAGCUCCAUCCUUCUAAUUUUUUUAUUUUUUUAUGUUUUUAUUUUGUUUAAUAUUUCAAGUUAUAUUUUUUAAGUUGAAAUUUCAUAAAUUAAAGACUGCAAUUAUUAUUGAUAAAGUUAAAUAUAACUAUAAAUAUUUGUACCAUUUUAUUUUAUUGUAAAUUUUUUGUAGAUCUAAAUUAAUAAUUAAAUUUAAAUUUAGCAGAAUUUGAUUGUAAUGUUUGAAUUUAAAUAAAAUUGUUUUAUAAAAAAUUUUGAGUAAAUUUAAAUAAAGUAUAAAUUGGGUAAGAAUUGAAUAAUUUCAAAAGAAUGUGUAUUUAUAAAUUGUGAAAGUUGUAACUAAAUCAACAUAUUUUGCUAAUUUGAGUAAAUUUAAAUAAAAGGUAAGUUGAGUAAGUGUUGAAUAAUUUCAAAAUAAUGUGUAUUUGUAAAUUAUGAAAGUUAUAACUAAAUCAAAAUAGUUAGUUAUUUUAUAUUAUUUUAUUUUAACGUAUGCAAGGUAUUCAUUUAAAUUUGACUUUAAGUAUGAAUUUUUUUUNAGAUUUUUAUUUUUCAAAUAUUUUUUUCAAUUUAGUCCUCAACAUCUCAAUUUUUGUUCAAUUUAGACUCUGUAUUAUAUAUUUUUGUUCAAUUUAGUCCCUAUGAUGUGGCACAAAAAAAUUUUUGGAAAAUUUUUGACCUGCCACGUGCACUAACAUGUCAGCAUGUCAUUGCCACAUCAUCGUAUAGUGCCACGUUGCGUUGUCACGUCAUCACUCGAUAUCACAUCAUCAAAAUAUGUCACAUCAUCAAAAUAUGACACAUCAUCACUGAUAUCAUCGUUGACAUCAUUUUUUAACGGUAAAAUUGGAUGUCGCUGGGGAGAGGGAUUGAAUUGACGCAAUAUUCAAAAUCAAAAGAUUAAAUUACUUCGAUUUUAAGUAUAAAGACUAAAUUGAACAAAAUUAAAAAUACAGGAACUGAAUAGGUCUUUUAAUCAAAAAAAUUGAACCAACAAAUUAGCAUAUAUAACAUCAAAAUAUGUUUUUCUAUCAAUUGUCAUUAAGAAUUACUUAAUUUUUUAUUCGAAUUAUGUGCUAUUCUAUGAUGGGUGUCGAUUAAUAUUAACAAAAAGUUUAUUCCUGUAUUGUCACUAUCCUUUCAGUAAUGUUUCAACUACUUACCUUAUAUAUUUUAAUCAUACCUUAACUAUUGUUAAUGAUUUUCCUCUUUUUCCCCAUUUGGAAAUAAUAAAUCUGUCUUUUCGUUGGACUCACCAACCAAAGUAACAAAAACUCCAAAAGCAGGUAAAGGCAUCAAAUUAUAAAGGACCGUGUACUAAUGAUUCUCUUUUCUUUUUUUUUGACAAAUAAUCGAUGGUUAUCACUUAAUUGAAAAGAAUUAAUUUAUUGUUAUAUUAUCAUAAAUUAAAAAUAUGAGUUCAUAACAAGUAAUCUGAAAAUUAAAAUCGAGAUAAAUUUAAAAGUUUUUUCUUCAAUAAAUAAAAGAGUUAAUACAAUGAAGAUGUUAUAAAAUUAAAUGCGAUAAAAUGUCACGAAUUAAUACUGAUUUUGUAUGGAAAGACAUAAAAGGGUGUUAUUAAAGACAAUUGAACAAGCCAUGACAAAAACGUCAAAAAUAACGAAACCAACUUUACAACUACUGUUCUUAAUUUCUUUCUAUCCACACUACCUAGUAGACAAGGACUACGUACCAACAUGGGGGAGAGAGAAGUAAAGCAACUGUGCCUCUGCUAAAGCAAUUAAAAGACUUUUAUUGUUUUUUACCGAACAUACAGCUUUGCAUAACAAAACAGAGACGCAAUAUUCAGAGGGCCUAACCACAAUAGAGCCUCGUACAGUGUUGCCAUUGAUGAAACUCUUCACGACUCAACAAACAAAUAUUUGGAAAAUGAAAAAUACAACUUGAAUUUGACAAUCGAUUGUUGGCAUAGCUAUAGCAAGUACUUAAACUUGUUGCCAACAUUCAUACAAUUUAAUAUCGGUACGAAGGCGAAAGUAUACUUCCCCUUCAAAGGCAUCCGUCAUCAAAGUAGCCACUCCUCUAGCCAUGAAGAAGUCACCGGUUCCACCAAUUACUGAGAUAUCCCUGGUCUUGUUCAUCAAUGGAUCAGCCCCAGCAAAGUUUAUGCUUCCCUUAUGCUCGGUAGAAUUGAAAACAAAAGAGAACCCCAACCAAGCAGUGAAAAUCUCUUUCUUAUCAUAGAAAUAAAAGCCUUGCGCACGACCAACUGGGGUUGAAUGCAGAUUGUUAUCUAAGGUAAUGGGAUCAUCAAACACAGCCAAAUCUCCAAAAUGGUUCUGUCCUGCCAAAAGGGUUCUAUUGGCCCAUUGCGGUGCACCUACGAUGGCUGAAGUUGCGUUCUUUGCAUUCUUGCCAUUAUAAAUUAUGUCAUGAAAAUAGAGCACCAUGCUCUUACAAGGUUUCCUAGCGCGGAUUUUUCGUGUUGUUGCAGCAGUAGAUAUGGAGAGGAGGGAGAGAAGGAAGAGAAGUAGCAGAAAUCUCCUUGCUUCCAUUUUCAUUUCAGAGCAAGAAGGUUACAAAAAAAAAAAAAAAAAAAACUAUGGAAUCUGUGAUAAUAUGCUUUGCAUAAAAGUUGAGCUGCUUUAUACAAGAGCUUUCAACUGCAAAACUUUUGGGUUACUCUGUUGGUUAAUUAAAUAUG
rnacentral:lncRNA from 1 species